AAUGCUAUGCUUCCAUCCUUGGCACCUCCAACCAUCAAGGAGCUUGAAUCAGUUGCCAAGAAUGUGAGUCACACCCCCCAUGAGAAGGAUUCUCAGUGAGGGGAAAAAUUUGCUCCUUCCACCAUGACUUCCUUUAACAGAGAACAUUACCAUUGCAAUAGUUGCAUAAGACUCCCAACCACUGCAGUUUCCCAUUCCAAUCAAAAUAAAGUUCAAACUCUUGCGGUAGCCUCCAACAGGUGACUCGGCUCCUGCCCACCUC